UACGUAGGCAGCGAGCGUUGUUCGGAGUUACUGGGCGUAAAGGGUGUGUAGGCGGUCCUUUAAGUUUGGUGUGAAAUCUCCCGGCUUAACCGGGAGGGUGCGCCGAAUACUGAGGGACUAGAGUGCGGGAGAGGAGAGUGGAAUUCCUGGUGUAGCGGUGAAAUGCGUAGAUAUCAGGAGGAACACCGGUGGUGUAGACGGCUCUCUGGACCGUAACUGACGCUGAGACACGAAAGCGUGGGUAGCAAACAGG
rnacentral:rRNA from 1 species